AUAAAAGGCUCCGACAAACAAGAGAGAGGUGACCUAUAGUGACAAAAUGCAUUCUUCUCCAUUUCCUGCGUUUUUACGGGCUGCGCUUGAGUUUCAAAUGGAACAGCUGUAUGAAUGCCAGCUCCGGCACUUCCGCUCUGCUCCUAAGUCUCUCUUUCUGUUCUCCAGGUGACCGUUUUGUUGCCCCACCACCUUUCCUGUGCCAAAAAUGCCAACUGUAACAACAAAGAGUGGCAGAUGCCAAGGGAAUCCCAGACGAAUGACCUCCGUGAAGUCGGCCUACCAAAGAGAAGCAAAUAUUUACCCUGCGUGUUUGAACCCAUGGCGCGGUGCCACGGCUGCCCCUCAGAGCACAUACCGGCCCGAUAGGCUUACUCGUACUCUAACUUUACUCCCUGGGAUCCCUGGGUCCAUCCUAUAUGACGCCAGAUAAAGUCCUGUUGAUUUUCGACCAACAAAUCGUAGAGAGAAACAUGUCAGAAAGGGGUCCAGCACAUCCCAGAGCUCAGCCGCCCUGAGACUGAAGUCUCCUUACGGGACACUGACUUCAAAGUCCAUUUUGGAAGGACUGAUCUGAAGAACGCGAACCGGUCUCUGAUAACCAACAGAGCAGUCGGGAUCAGUGGAGAAGCCACCAAAUGAGAUCUCCUGGGCAUCAAACACACACAAUACAUAAAAUAUGUGCAUAUCAUAUUAAUGUGCUGUUCUAUUCUUCUGUUGAGGUGAAGCUGGUUGGAAUAUGCUGACUGUCUUGACUGUGCAUGAUUUACUCGUCUGUCAUCGCAGAACAAUUUUACACGGAAAACACAUAUUGGCUCCGGUUUUGCUUGAAUCUUUGACUCUCCUCUCGAAAGAGUUUGCAGGUCAUACCAGGAUGCAAAACUGCAUAUCUGACCCACCUGUGCACUCGAUGGCCCCAUAACCCAUCAUCCUCCAUCAGAUUAGCAUGUCCACUCCAAGAAAUGAGCUCUCAAAUCAGCAUGUAAUCCCUCAGGAGAACAACAACAACUGCAACAGUAGGACAGAUGUUCAAGAUCUUAACCUGGGACAAGAAAACGCCUUGAUGCUGUGUGUCAGCCAACAUUUGAAAAAGCAAAAAAUUCAGACUUAAUCUGAUAAAAGGGGCCAGAAUAGGUGCGGCACAAAUUGAGAAACUCUGAUAAACUUUAAAAUGUCUGUCUGCAUUAGGGUAUUGUCCUUUAAUCUGACUCCCACCGUGCUGGAUUGUAAUCCCUGUGUCCUGUAGGAGCAAUCGUCUACUACAUGAUGGAGAAGGGGAGGUUAAGAGGGAAAAUGGAGAUGCGAACAAUGUGUUAAGCUCUGUCAAAAAAAGAGGAUUGCAGCGGAUAUGGAAUCAAUCACUAGAGCUACUGACUUUAUGGCUCUACUAAGCUUGUUCCACUAGAUAGACAGGUGGGUUUUUUUCAGAACAGUGAUCCGGGGUGAAAUGUUUGAAAAAUUCUUCAAUGGUAAACAAAAAGUAACUUUUUUCCUGAAAUAUUCCACAUCAAGCUCCAUGUCGAAAAUGCAUGACUCCAGGAGUUGGCAUGCAGCAGCGGUUCCAGCCUGCUCAGCCCACGCCGUCUCUAAAGACCCUUAAACCAAAGCAAACGUUUCAACAACAUUUCCAUCCAUUCCUGCUCUAACAGUGUGAUGAGAGCAGGUUAAAGCUGUAAGCCAUCAAAGUCUGCCGAGCAGCGUGCCCUGUUUGAAACUCAUCUGGAUCCCCCAUAAACACUCGGCUGCUAAUUGGCUGCACAUGUGGCGCUGAGUGCAUUUUAGCAUGCGUUAGUGUGUGUGUGUCGCAGCGUUAGAAUGUGCAUGCGUGUGUUGGCAUACAACAUGGCUUAUCAGUCUGAUCAAAGACAGCCUUUCCUUAAACUGUCUGCAAUAUGAAAGGCGCACAAAGGCAGGAAUAGCUUCAUGGUAAAUAUCUGAUCCGGAGAGUAAUUGGUACCUGUCUCGGAGAUCUGGCUCUUUGAUCGACACUCCUUUCCUCUUCCGUAGUUUAAAUGUGGAAAUAUAUUUAUUGGUGGCUCCCCCACAUCCGAUUGUCGCACGCCAUCUGGGCAGGGUGCUAAAAGAUGCUCGCCGCCAAACGUGCUCUCUGAGCUCACGAAACUGUCCUCGCUUCUUGUCACACUGCAUAUCAGAAAUACCUGAGAAGAAAGACACAAUUUCAUUAUUAGUAAUAAUUUCUAUGAUUAUAACCAAAAAAAUAUUAAAGACAUAAAUUACUAGAUGGCUCCUUUUAUAGAUGAUAUAUUGUUGCACAAACAAGCAAAGAGUUCAUUUGCACUUUGUCGAUCAUUUUGGUAGUAGUAGCUGUCUAUAGGAGGGUCAGAGACCUCUCGGAUUUCGUCAGAAAUAUCUUAAAUUGUGUUCCGAAGAUGAACAAAGGUCUUACGGGUUUGGAACAACGUGAGGGUGAGUAAUUAAUGACAGAAUUUUCAUUUUUGGGUGAACUAACCCUUUAAUCUCUUUUAAUGUUGUUUUUGCAAACAAACUCUUCAAAUAUUGCUACUAGUGUUGUCAAAAGAAUGAAUUUAAAUUAUUGCAAAAAUUAUUGCAUUAAUCAUAUUUAAUUAACUGAAGAAUUCAAUCUUGAAUUAGGCCUACUUCAAUGUAGUUCUGGGCCAUAUAUACGGUAUAAAUUUAUUGGUACAAGUGGCUAAGCAACGUAGACAUUGCCUUGAAUCUAGAAGAAAUCCUUGUUAACUGCAUGCAUACACUUCUUACUAAUGGUUAGAGAACUAUUAAUAACACAGAACUAAUUCUUUAACUGGGCAAAUAAAGCAACUGUAAACGGCUGUUAAUAGAAAUCAGCAGCAGGCAGAGCAAAAUCACUGUUCACAGUGUUGGAAGAAAAUCCUAAAUACUGAAUUAGGGGUUUAUAUAAAUGUAUCUCUAAGGGGAACUGACUGUCUUCAGGACAUUUUAGAUUCAUCUUAUCUCCAUAAUGCCUUAUGUAGCAUUUAAAUGCAGCGCUGCUGUGUUUACAACAGUAAUCAAGGAAACACAGUAUUACUGCUGUUCCAUGAGCGCCACCUGCUGAAAAUAAAAAUGAAUUUGCAUUCUUG